AUACGGAAGGUGCAAGCGUUAGUCGGAAUUACUGGGCGUAAAGGGUGCGUAGGCGGGGAUAUAAGUUGGUUGUGAAAUACCAAAGCUCAACUUUGGAAGUGCAAUCAAAACUAUAUCUCUCAGAGGAAUGGCGGAGAGAAUGGAAUUCCAUGUGUAGCGGUGAAAUGCGUAGAUAUAUGGAAGAACACCUGUGGCAAAAGCGGUUCUCUAGCUUCUUCCUGACGCUGAGGCACGAAAGCAAGGGGAGC
rnacentral:rRNA from 1 species